UACGUAGGGGGCAAGCGUUGUCCGGAAUCAUUGGGCGUAAAGAGCGUGUAGGCGGCCCGAUAAGUCGGUUGUGAAAGUCAAGGGCUCAACCCUUGAAUGCCGACCGAUACUGUCGGGCUAGAGUCCGGAAGAGGUGAGUGGAAUUCCUGGUGUAGCGGUGAAAUGCGCAGAUAUCAGGAGGAACACCAAUCGCGAAGGCAGCUCGCUGGGACGGUACUGACGCUGAGACGCGAAAGCGUGGGGAGCAAACAGG
rnacentral:rRNA from 1 species